CCAAUAUUUACUUACAUUUUGCUUUGCAAGCAAAAUCUGACCAGGAUAGUUUCAAAUGAUAUUAUUUUGCAAUAAAAUUUUAUUUAAAUCAAUUUGUUCAAAAAUUUACAAUUAUAAGUUGACGAAUAUAUUACAAUUAAGGCACUAAAUCCUAAUUGUCAUAUCCUUGACCUAGGACGUCAUGUCACCACCACGACAAGGAGAAAAGGUAUAACCCUGUUGUCAACAAGCCUAGUGUCGAUAGGCCAAUUUGUCCGGCCCCUUUUGAAACCCAAAAUAAACCAAGAAAAAAGAAUAAACAAAACAGUCCAUUAAUAUUCUAUUUACAGCCCAAUACCUAAGCCCAAUUACAUGACCCUAUAACUAAUACCCUAGCCCAGUUACAAAACAGCCCAAAGCUCCAAGACCCAAAUGGCCCAGAAACUGAGCCCAAUUUCUAAGCCCAAUUACAUGACCCUAUAACUAAUACCCUAGCCCAGUUACAAAACAGCCCAAAGCUCCAAGACCCAAAUGGCCCAGAAACUGAGCCCAAUUUCGGUAAACCCUAGGGCAAAGGUCUCCUCGCUCCGCAGCCCUCACUGGCGGCCUAACCACGCAGUAGUCCCAGCCUCCACACCUCCGUGCGGCCUCCUGGCACCACGCCCACGCCCCGUACGCCAGCACAUGGCUGCGUACCCGAGCGCACACCCGUACCUGCAAGAACACAGACAGAGCAGUAGCCAAUACCAAAGCAAAGAAAAAACUUGUAUUUUUCUUUAUUUUUUUUUGAACAUUCAACUAUAAAAGCCUACUAUCUUCGAUUGUAAACUUUUUUUUGAAGGAGGGACACAAGCACAUUUCUACACACUGAAUACAAAAAAACGCGAAAAAAAAGGAAUAUACACAUACAAUAGCAAUCGAAUACAGAGGUUGAAUAUUCUUCAAAGGUGGUUCCUUUUUAUUUUUUUUACGCCUCCAUUUUUCCAUUUCUGCUUCGAAAUCUAUCAAAAACGCAAAAAGAAAACGAAAGAGGAGUUUACCUUGCGAAGCUAGCCGUCGUUUCCCCUUCACUUCGUCGAAAUCGAAGUCUGAAUGGGGUCUCAAGGGCCAAAACCACUCUUUUAGGGCUCGAACGCGCAGAUCGUUGUUCGUGUGGCACAUUAGUGCCGAGGGUAGCAUUUUGGGGUUAAUUGGGCAGCAAAAGGGGGAGGUUGAUACACUGCUAGGGUUUCGGCUGAAUGAAAACCCACUUAGUCUUUUAAAGAAGCAAAAACGGCACCGUUUAGGUCAAAUGUAACGGCCAAAAAAGACGUCAUUUGAAACUUUGCCCGGCGACCCGACCCAAUGGCCCCUGGGAUCCGCGCGUUUUCGCGGUGAGGGGUUAAUUUUCUUUAAAUCCCUCCCUUUUUGCGCCACGUUUAGAUCGGCC
rnacentral:lncRNA from 1 species